AUGCCGCCUCGCCGUCGGGGAGGUUCGGGCUUCCGCGGCGUCCGCGUGCGUCCGUCCGGCACCUACUCCGCCUCGAUCCGGUUGGGCGGCGGCGUGCGCCUUGGCCUCGGAACCUUCGACACCGCCCAGGACGGCGCCCGCGCGUACGACGCUGCGGCGUGGCGCCUCCGGCAGUCCCGUUGGGACAUGAACUUCACCGACGUGGCGACGCCAGAGCAAGCACAGGAGUUGGCUCCUUUCCCGCGGCUUAUCACCGACGAGGAUCGGCGCAAAAACGGAGGCGGGAGCGCCGUCUCAGCCUGGCCGAGAUGGACGAGGAAGCCAUGGCGCUGUGGAGGCAACGCUUCCCGCAAGAUAUCAUCAACGAGGAGCAGUUCUUCGCCGAGAGGAGGGCGGAGAGGAAGGGGAAGAGGAAGGAGCGAGCCGCCUAUCGCGAGGACAAGCGAACGCGGAAGGCGGUCGCUAAAUACAACAUGGCGUUAG
rnacentral:rRNA from 1 species